UAGAGUUUGAUCAUGGCUCAGAGCGAACGCUGGCGGCGUGCUUAACACAUGCAAGUCGAGUGCGUAGUCAUCUGUAGCAAUACAGGUGGCGGGCGCACGGCGCACGGGUGCGUAACACGUGGGCAAUCUGCCCUCUGAUGGGGAAUAACCCGCCGAAAGGCGGGCUAAUACCGCAUAACACCCCGACUGCUUCGGCGGUCGGGGUCAAAGGCCGCAAGGCCGUCGGAGGAGGAGCCCGCGCCCGAUUAGCUUGUUGGCGGGGUAACGGCCCACCAAGCCUGUGAUCCGUAGCUGGUCUGAGAGGAUGAUCAGCCACACUGGGACUGAGACACGGCCCAGACUCCUACGGGAGGCAGCAGUGGGGAGUAUUGGACAAUGGGGGCAACCCUGAUCCAGCAAUGCCGCGUGGGUGAUGAAGGCCUUCGGGUUGUAAAGCCCUUUCGGCGGGGACGAUGAUGACGGUACCCGCAGAAGAAGCCCCGGCUAACUUCGUGCCAGCCGCCGCGGUAAUUC
rnacentral:rRNA from 1 species